AUACAGCCAUAUCACGUUUAAAGUAGAGGUCCCCGUAUGAUCACUGAAGUUAAGCAACGUGGAGCCUGGUCACUGCUUAGGCAGGUGACCGCUUGGGAACAGCAGGUUCUGUAAU